UACAGAGGGGGCAAGCGUUAUUCGGAAUUAUUGGGCGCAAAGGGCGCGUAGGCGGCUAUUCAAGUGGCGGGUGAAAUCCCUCGGCUUAACCGAGGAACUGCCUGCCAGACUGGAUGGCUUGAGACCGGGAGAGGUGAGUGGAAUUCCCAGUGUAGCGGUGAAAUGCGUAGAUAUUGGGAGGAACACCAGUGGCGAAGGCGGCUCACUGGACCGGUACUGACGCUGAGGCGCGAAAGCGUGGGGAGCGAACCGG
rnacentral:rRNA from 1 species